AUGUACAUGGCAAACGUAGUGGUACUUUGCGCCGGUCGUCCUGGAACUUCUAAUAAAUCCACGGAGGCAGUCUUGGCGUUCCGGGUCUUGCAGUGUAGUCGAACUUGGCGUCAACAAGGCAAAGAGACCAACAAGGUGUUGCGUGGUGAUGGCCUCGGGAGGGCCAUGGCGCGGUGCGGGCAGGAGGAGAUGGUGAAACAGAGGCCAUGGUCGGUCACCGAUGCAAAGGGGGCAACGGGCAGCGGAACUUGGGGCGCCAGCAGCGGCGAACUUGGCGAAGGAGGUGUGAGGACGGCCGGGAUGGCUGGGGUUGCGAGGAAGCAGAUGUGCUGGCCAUGGCAGACGGCGGAGAGCAUCUCAGCCACGGGGAAGGUGGACGGCGGGCUUCGGAGCAAGGGGAGGCAGAGGUGCUGGCCAUGGCGCCAGUGCACAGGGACGGUCGCAGCUUCGAACGGCGACGGUGUGGAGGUCGGGUACUGGCGCGCGGAGGGAGAAGGACGACGGGGACAGGCGAGCUCAUGGCUGCCAGCAAGCUUGGCGAGGCGGGGCGCGGCGGCCAUGGAGGACGGCGACGAGGAGGGGGCCACGGGGACGAGACGAGGGCAGCAGGAGGGAGAGAUGGCGGCGGCAGCAGGGCACGGCAGGGCGCGGCGAGCUGCGGCCGGCCGACGAGGAGGCGGGGACAAGGGCUGCGCGGUGGUUGCGGAGGCGCUCAAGAAGGGGAGGUGUCGCGAGGCAGAGAUGGAGGCGCGAGAAGGUGGGGGAUCGAGCGGAGGGGAGUGCGGCGCAAGGGAAGGGAGCAGGGGAGCGAUCGGGUGA
rnacentral:rRNA from 1 species